UGGGGAAUAUUGCACAAUGGGCGCAAGCCUGAUGCAGCCAUGCCGCGUGUAUGAAGAAGGCCUUCGGGUUGUAAAGUACUUUCAGCGGGGAGGAAGGCGAUGCGGUUAAUAACCGCGUCGAUUGACGUUACCCGCAGAAGAAGCACCGGCUAACUCCGUGCCAGCAGCCGCGGUAAUACGGAGGGUGCCAGCGUUAAUCGGAAUUACUGGGCGUAAAGCGCACGCAGGCGGUCUGUCAAGUCGGAUGUGAAAUCCCCGGGCUCAACCUGGGAACUGCAUCCGAAACUGGCAGGCUUGAGUCUCGUAGAGGGGGGUAGAAUUCCAGGUGUAGCGGUGAAAUGCGUAGAGAUCUGGAGGAAUACCGGUGGCGAAGGCGGCCCCCUGGACGAAGACUGACGCUCAGGUGCGAAAGCGUGGGGAGCAAUCA
rnacentral:rRNA from 1 species